UAUUAGCCUAUUUUUCGAGUCAUUUGCACAUAACGUAACGUUACAUAAAACUGGUUUUGAUCAUUUUCUCUCCUCAGAAAAUCCAGUACGACUUCUCUAAAAAUCUCAAAGGGUUCACAGAGCAGCACUAUUUAAUAAAGAAAUGUGGCUCUGUAGUGGACACCUGUGAGGCAGUGGACAGACAGCUGCUGAUGUCUGAUGCUGGCUGACAAUAAACAGACCUCUCUGGACGUACCCCAUCUUUUGCAGAGUAAUUCUAACAUUGCCCUAUCUGUAACAUGAUGAUCCUGCUGUCCUGGAUUGUAUAUGA